GCAAGUCGAGGGGAAACGACAUCGAAAGCUUGCUUUUGAUGGGCGUCGACCGGCGCACGGGUGAGUAACGCGUAUCCAACCUGCCCACCACUUGGGGAUAACCUUGCGAAAGUAAGACUAAUACCCAAUGACGUCUCUAGAAGACAUCUGAAAGAGAUUAAAGAUUUAUCGGUGAUGGAUGGGGAUGCGUCUGAUUAGCUUGUUGGCGGGGUAACGGCCCACCAAGGCAACGAUCAGUAGGGGUUCUGAGAGGAAGGUCCCCCACAUUGGAACUGAGACACGGUCCAAACUCCUACGGGAGGCAGCAGUGAGGAAUAUUGGUCAAUGGACGAGAGUCUGAACCAGCCAAGUAGCGUGCAGGAUGACGGCCCUAUGGGUUGUAAACUGCUUUUAUAAGGGAAUAAAGUGAGUCUCGUGAGACUUUUUGCAUGUACCUUAUGAAUAAGGACCGGCUAAUUCCGUGCCAGCAGCCGCGGUAAUACGGAAGGUCCGGGCGUUAUCCGGAUUUAUUGGGUUUAGAGGGAGCGUAGGCCGGAGAUUAAGCGUGUUGUGAAAUGUAGACGCUCAACGUCUGCACUGCAGCGCGAACUGGUUUCCUUGAGUACGCACAAAGUGGGCGGAAUUCGUGGUGUAGCGGUGAAAUGCUUAGAUAUCACGAAGAACUCCGAUUGCGAAGGCAGCUCACUGGAGCGCAACUGACGCUGAAGCUCGAAAGUGCGGGUAUCGAACAGGAUUAGAUACCCUGGUAGUCCGCACGGUAAACGAUGGAUGCCCGCUGUUGGUCUGAAUAGGUCAGCGGCCAAGCGAAAGCAUUAAGCAUCCCACCUGGGGAGUACGCCGGCAACGGUGCAACUCAAAUGAAUUGACGG
rnacentral:rRNA from 1 species